rnacentral:rRNA from 1 species
CGCGUAGGCGGACCUUCAAGUCGGAUGUGAAAUCUUGCAGCUCAACUGCAAGCCUGCAUUCGAAACUGAGGGUCUUGAGUACAGUAGAGGAAAGCGGAAUUCCAGGUGUAGCGGUGAAAUGCGUAGAUAUCUGGAAGAACACCAGUAGCGAAGGCGGCUUUCUGGGCUGAUACUGACGCUGAAGCGCGAAGGCUUGGGUAGCAAACAGGAUUAGAUACCCUGGUAGUCC